rnacentral:lncRNA from 1 species
AAUAACUUAGUAGAAGUUUCAGACUGAGGUGUUUGUGUUCAAAUAACUAAGUAAUGAUGGGCUCAAAGCACUAAGAAGUGGUGCUGGCAAUUGGAUAUGCCAGAGAAACAUCCAUAAAGUUCUUUGUCUUAAAGCUGAAGUACAAGCCAGGCAAUGUAGCACACGCUUUAAUUCCAGCUCUGGGAGGCAGAGGCAGGUGGGUCUCGUAGUCUGCAGAGUGAGCUUCUGGACAGCCAGAGCUGCACAGAGAAACCCUGUCUCAAAAACCAAACCACAGCAAAAAGUUGAAACACAUAGAUAUUUUGAGAUAAUAGAGCUCAAACUCAUGCUCCAGUGUUGUUUUACUUUGCUUUUGCUAACCUCUCUUACCAGGCCUUGUUUGUAAAUUAAAGCUUUUCAUAACAUGAAUGGAAGAAAACCCUCACUUUCAGGAAUCUAUUAUGGGACUUGGAGUGCAUGCCCUGGAAAUGGGGAGGAGUACAUAGUUCAGACAAGUCACAUUAUUCAUCCCUACUGAAAUACUCUAUAUAAUUCUUUCAAGUGUGUGUUUAUGGGAAAGUUUAAAUAAUAAUAGAGCUAAAAACCAAAUUGUGUAAUUUAAGUGUCAUAUGAACUUCCUGAAUAUAUUUAUAUAUUUGGUUUCACUUUUCUCAAAAAGUUGCCCUGUUUUUUUUGUUUUGUUUUGUUUUGUUGCAGGAAGAUGAGAAUGUGCCCAUUCCUCC